rnacentral:rRNA from 1 species
CCUACGGGAGGCAGCAGUGAGGAAUAUUGGUCAAUGGACGCAAGUCUGAACCAGCCAUGCCGCGUGCGGGAAGAAGGCUCUAUGAGUUGUAAACUGCUUUUGUAAGAGGAUAAACACAGGUACGUGUAUCUGUCUGAAAGUAUCUUACGAAUAAGGAUCGGCUAACUCCGUGCCAGCAGCCGCGGUAAUACGGAGGAUUCAAGCGUUAUCCGGAUUUAUUGGGUUUAAAGGGUGCGUAGGCGGUCGGAUAAGUUAGCGGGGAAAUCCCGAGGCUCAACUUCGGAAUUGCCGUUGAUACUGUUCGGCUAGAGAGUAGUAGCGGUAGGCGGAAUGUAUGGUGUAGCGGUGAAAUGCUUAGAGAUCAUACAGAACACCGAUUGCGAAGGCAGCUUACCAAGCUACUUCUGACGUUGAGGCACGAAAGCGUGGGGAGCAAACAGGAUUAGAUACCCCUGUAGUC